AUACGGAGGGGGCUAGCGUUGUUCGGAAUUACUGGGCGUAAAGCGCGCGUAGGCGGUCCGCGUAGUCAGGCGUGAAAGCCCCGGGCUCAACCUGGGGACUGCGUUUGAUACUGGCGGGCUAGAGUCCGGGAGAGGGUAGUGGAAUUCCCAGUGUAGAGGUGAAAUUCGUAGAUAUUGGGAAGAACACCAGUGGCGAAGGCGGCUACCUGGACCGGUACUGACGCUGAGGUGCGAAAGCGUGGGGAGCAAACAGGAUUAGAAACCCGGGUAGUCC
rnacentral:rRNA from 1 species